rnacentral:rRNA from 1 species
CAGCCGCCACGGGAAUACGUAGGUGGCAAGCGUUGUCCGGAAUUAUUGGGCGUAAAGGGCUCGCAGGCGGUUUCUUAAGUCUGAUGUGAAAGCCCCCGGCUCAACCGGGGAGGGUCAUUGGAAACUGGGAAACUUGAGUGCAGAAGAGGAGAGUGGAAUUCCACGUGUAGCGGUGAAAUGCGUAGAGAUGUGGAGGAACACCAGUGGCGAAGGCGACUCUCUGGUCUGUAACUGACGCUGAGGAGCGAAAGCGUGGGGAGCGAACAGGAUUAGAUACCCGUGUAGUCCCUGUCUCUUAUAU